rnacentral:rRNA from 1 species
UACAGAGGCCUCGAGCGUUAGGCGGAAUCACUGGGCUUAAAGCGUGUGUAGGCGGACUUCUAAGUACCUUGUGAAAUCCCACGGCUCACCCGUGGAACUGCUCGGUAUACUGGUCGUCUUGAGCCUUCUAGGGGCGAGUGGAACAAAUGGUGGAGCGGUGAAAUGCGCAGAUAUCAGGAAGAACACCCGUGGCUAAGGCGGCUCUCUAGUACGGUACUGACGCUGAGGCACGAAGGCCAGGGGAGCAAACGGG